GUAGGUGGCAAGCGUUGUCCGGAAUUAUUGGGCGUAAAGCGCGCGCAGGCGGUUCUUUAAGUCUGAUGUGAAAGCCCACGGCUCAACCAUGGAGGGUCAUUGGAAACUGGAGAACUUGAGUACAGAAGAGGAAAGCGGAAUUCCACGUGUAGCGGUGAAAUGCGUAGAGAUGUGGAGGAACACCAGUGGCGAAGGCGGCUUUCUGGUCUGUAACUGACGCUGAGGCGCGAAAGCGUGGGGAGCAAACAGGAUUAGAUACCCUGGUAGUCCACGCCGUAAACGAUGAGUGCUAAGUGUUAGGGGGUGUCCGCCCCUUAGUGCUGCAGCUAACGCAUUAAGCACUCCGCCCUGGGAGUACGGCCGCAAGGCUG
rnacentral:rRNA from 1 species